rnacentral:rRNA from 1 species
GAUGAACGCUGGCGGCGUGCCUAAUACAUGCAAGUCGAGCGGACGGACGAGAAGCUUGCUUCUCUGAUGUUAGCGGCGGACGGGUGUGUAACACGUGGAUAACCUACCUAUAAGUCUGGGAUAACUUCGGGAAACCGGAGCUAAUACCGUAUAAUCUUUUGAACCGCAUUGUUCAAUAGUGAAAGACGGUCUUGCUGUCACUUAUAGAUGGAUCCGCGCUGCAUUAGCUAGUUGGUAAGGUAACGGCUUACCAAGGCAACGAUGCAUAGCCGACCUGAGAGGGGGAUCGGCCACACUGGAAGUGAGACACGGUCCAGACGACUACGGGAGGCCGCAGUAGGGAAUGUUACGCAAUGGGCGAGAGCCUGGCGGAGCAAGGGCGCGUGAGUGAUGAAGGUCUUCGGAGCGGAAAAAUGUGUUACUAGGGAUGAACAGCUGUGGAAGGAAACGAGGCCAGAGUGACGGUAACGAAUAAAAAAGCACCGGCUAACUACGUG